GGCAAGGUGGCCGAGCGGUCCAAGGCGCCAGGUUCAGGCCCACUUGAAUUUCAGGUUUUUCUUCGAAUAACCAGUUUCCUGGUCUCAGAAAUGGGGCGCGAGUUCGAAUCUCGCCCUUGUCA